UAUCUCUGUAGAGUCUGCAUAUCAAUAAGCGGAGGAAAAGAAACUAACUAGGAUUCCCUUAGUAACGGCGAGUGAAGCGGGAAGAGCUCAAAUUUGAAAUCUUCAAGGUUUUACCUUGACGAAUUGUAGUUUAAAGAAGUGUUUUCUGUUGGUGUUUUGGUAAAAGUUCUUUGGAAUAGGACAUCAUAGAGGGUGAGAAUCCCGUAUUUGACCAUUACUUCCAGCGUUGUGAUACACUUUCAGAGAGUCGGAUUGUUUGGGAAUGCAGUCCAAAAUGGGUGGUAAAUUUCAUCUAAAGCUAAAUAUUGGCGAGAGACCGAUAGCGAACAAGUACCGUGAGGGAAAGAUGAAAAGAACUUUGAAAAGAGAGUUAAACAGUACGUGAAAUUGUCAAAAGGGAAGCGUUUGACACCAGUGUAGUUUUCUCGAAAAUCAAUUAAAAAAAGUUGGAUUUUGUAUUGUUAAGACCUUAUCAGCUUACUGUACUCUUUUCUUGCUUUUUUUUUAAUGCACUUUUCGUUUAACAAGUCAACAUCAAUUUCUUUUGUUGUAAAAGAGUCAUUGGAAGGUGGCUUUCACUUCGGUGAAAGUGUUUAUAGCCUUUGGCUUCUGCAAUCGGAGAGAUUGAGGUCUGCAGCGUAGAUCCUUCGGGGCUAGAUACGUAGAUGCUAAGUUAUAGUUUUUUAUAGACAACUUGUUGACUAUAAUUAAUCAUGUAGCUUACUCGUUUGCGCUAUUUUACCUACGCUUAGGAUGUUGAAGAUGUAGCACAUCAU
rnacentral:rRNA from 1 species